UACAGAGGGUGCAAGCGUUAAUCGGAAUUACUGGGCGUAAAGCGCACGUAGGUGGCUUGAUAAGUUGGGUGUGAAAUCCCCCGGGCUUAACCUGGGAAUUGCAUUCAAGACUGUCUUGCUAGAGUGUGGAAGAGGGAAGCGGAAUUCCAGGUGUAGCGGUGAAAUGCGUAGAUAUCUGGAGGAACAUCAGUGGCGAAGGCGGCUUCCUGGUCCAACACUGACACUGAGGUGCGAAAGCGUGGGGAGCAAACAGG
rnacentral:rRNA from 1 species